rnacentral:rRNA from 1 species
AACGAACGCUGGCGGCAGGCCUAACACAUGCAAGUCGAGCGAGGACUUCGGUUCUAGCGGCGGACGGGUGAGUAACGCGUGGGAAGUUGCCCUUCUCUACGGAAUACCCCUGGGAAACGGGGAUUAAUACCGUAUAGGCCCAUUUGGGGAAAGAUUUAUCGGAGAAGGAUCAGCCCGCGUUGGAUUAGGUAGUUGGUGGGGUAAUGGCCUACCAAGCCGACGAUCCAUAGCUGGUUUGAGAGGAUGAUCAGCCACACUGGGACUGAGACACGGCCCAGACUCCUACGGGAGGCAGCAGUGGGGAAUCUUAGACAAUGGGGGCAACCCUGAUCUAGCCAUGCCGCGUGAGUGAUGAAGGCCUUAGGGUUGUAAAGCUCUUUCAGCUGGGAAGAUAAUGACGGUACCAGCAGAAGAAGCCCCGGCUAACUCCGUG